rfam:Triticum aestivum genome assembly, contig: Triticum_aestivum_CS42_TGACv1_scaffold_221018_3B
UUAAUACUCCCUCCGUCCCAAAAAUCUUGUCUUAGUUUUGUCUAGAUACGGAUGUAUCUAAUACUAAAACAUGACUUGAUACAUCCGUAUUUAGACAAAUCUAAGACAAGAAUUUUGGGAAAGAGGGAGUAUUAU